GAUGAACGCUGGCGGCGUGCUUAACACAUGCAAGUCGAACGGAAAGGCCCUGCUCUUGUGGGGUGCUCGAGUGGCGAACGGGUGAGUAACACGUGAGUAACCUGCACCUGACUGUGGGAUAACUUCAGGAAACAGGGGCGAAUAUCGGAUAGGAGCUCCUGCUGCAUGGGGGGGGUCGGAGAGUUUCGGCGGUGGGGGAUGGACUCGCGGCUUAUCAGCUUGUUGGUGGGGUAGUGGCUGACCAAGGCUUUGACGGGUAGCCGGCCUGAGAGGGUGACCGGCCUCAUUGGGACUGAGAUACGGCCCAGACUCCUACGGGCGGCAGCAGUGGGGAAUAUUGCGCAAUGGGCGGACGCCUGAUGCAGCAACGCCGCGUGCGGGAUGACGGCCUUCGGGUUGUAAACCGCUUUCGCCUGUGACGAAGCGUGAGUGACGGUAAUGGGUAAAGAAGCCCCGGCUAACUACGUG
rnacentral:rRNA from 1 species